rnacentral:rRNA from 1 species
GACGAACGCUGGCGGCGUGCUUAACACAUGCAAGUCGAACGGAAAGGCCCCUUUGGGGUUACUCGAGUGGCGACCGGGUGCGUAACACGUGAGUAACCUGCCCUUGACAUCGGGAUAACUUCAGGAAACUGGGGCUAAUAACGGUAAGGAAUCAUAGCAGCAUGGGGGGGGUUAGAAAGCUUCGGCGGUCUUGGAUGGACUGGCGGCGUAUCAGCUUGUUGGCGGGGUAGUGGCUUACCAAGGCUUUGACGUGUAGCCGGCCUGCGAGGGCGAGCGGCCACACUGGGACUUAGGGGCGGCCCAGAUUGCGACUAGUGGAAGCAGUGGGGAAGAUUGCACCAUGGGCGGAGGCCGGAUGAAGCAGGGCCUCGUGUGGGAAAACGGCCUUCGUGUUGAAGAACGGUUUCAGCAGGGGCGAAGCUUGUGGUGACGGUACCUACAGAAGAAGCACCGGCUAACUACGUG